rnacentral:rRNA from 1 species
GACGGGUGAGUAACAUGUAGGUAUCUACCCUAUGGCCUGGAAUAACACGAGGAAACUUGUGCUCAUACUGGAUAAGUCUUUACGGAGAAAGCUUUAUGCACCAUUGGAUGAGCCUGCACUUGAUUAGUUCGUUGGUGGGGUAAUGGCCUACCAAGACUGUGAUCAAUAGCUGAUUUGAGAGGAUGAUCAGCCACAUUGGGACUGAGACACGGCCCAAACUCCUACGGGAGGCAGCAGUGGGGAAUCUUGCACAAUGGAGGAAACUCUGAUGCAGCGAUGCCGCGUGAGUGAAGAAGGCCCUUGGGUUGUAAAGCUCUUUCGUCGGGGAAGAAAAUGACUGUACCCGAAUAAGAAGGUCCGGCUAACUUCGUGCCAGCAGCCGCGGUAGUACGAAGGGACCUAGCGUAGUUCGGAAUUACUGGGCUUAAAGAGUUCGUAGGUGGUUGAAAAAGUUAGUGGUGAAAUCCCAGAGCUUAACUCUGGAACUGCCAUUAAAACUUUUUAGCUAGAGUAUGAUAGAGGAAAGCAGAAUUUCUAGUGUAGAGGUGAAAUUCGUAGAUAUUAGAAAGAAUACCAAUUGCGAAGGCAGCUUUCUGGAUCAUUACUGACGCUGAGGAACGAAAGCAUGGGUAGCGAAGAGGAUUAGAUACCCUCGUAGUCCAUGCCGUAAACGAUGUGUGUUAGA